rnacentral:sRNA from 1 species
UAAAUAUUUUAAAAAAAACAACUCAGGGUGCAGAAUGGUGUAUGUAGUAUAUUUCUUUUAAGCAAAUACAAAUGAUGUCACACACUUAAUAAUAUCUAUAUAGAGACUGAUAGAUAUGUUUGUGUGUGUGUGUGUGUGUGUAGGUGUUGGCAAGUAUGUCCACUAACAGUAGCCACCUCUAG